ACAUGCAAGUCGAACGGUAACAGGAAGCAGCUUGCUGCUUCGCUGACGAGUGGCGGACGGGUGAGUAAUGUCUGGGAAACUGCCUGAUGGAGGGGGAUAACUACUGGAAACGGUAGCUAAUACCGCAUAACGUCGCAAGACCAAAGAGGGGGACCUUCGGGCCUCUUGCCAUCGGAUGUGCCCAGAUGGGAUUAGCUAGUAGGUGGGGUAACGGCUCACCUAGGCGACGAUCCCUAGCUGGUCUGAGAGGAUGACCAGCCACACUGGAACUGAGACACGGUCCAGACUCCUACGGGAGGCAGCAGUGGGGAAUAUUGCACAAUGGGCGCAAGCCUGAUGCAGCCAUGCCGCGUGUAUGAAGAAGGCCUUCGGGUUGUAAAGUACUUUCAGCGGGGAGGAAGGCGAUAAGGUUAAUAACCUUGUCGAUUGACGUUACCCGCAGAAGAAGCACCGGCUAACUCCGUGCCAGCAGCCGCGGUAAUACGGAGGGUGCAAGCGUUAAUCGGAAUUACUGGGCGUAAAGCGCACGCAGGCGGUCUGUCAAGUCGGAUGUGAAAUCCCCGGGCUCAACCUGGGAACUGCAUUCGAAACUGGCAGGCUAGAGUCUUGUAGAGGGGGGUAGAAUUCCAGGUGUAGCGGUGAAAUGCGUAGAGAUCUGGAGGAAUACCGGUGGCGAAGGCGGCCCCCUGGACAAAGACUGACGCUCAGGUGCGAAAG
rnacentral:rRNA from 1 species